rnacentral:misc_RNA from 1 species
GAUGAAGAACGUAGCGAAAUGUGAUAAGUAAUGUGAAUUGCAGAAUUCAGUGAAUCAUCGAAUCUUUGAACGCACAUUGCGCCCCUUGGUAUUCCGAGGGGCAUGCCUGUUCGAGCGUCAUUAUAACCCCUCAAGCUCAGCUUGGUGUUGGGGCCUGCUGCACUGGCAGCCCUUAAAAUCAGUGGCGGCGCCAUCUGGCUCUAAGCGUAGUAAUUCUUCUCGCUAUGGAGUCCUGGUGGAUGCUUGCCAUCAACCCCCAAUUUUUCUAUGGUUGACCUCGGAUCAGGAAGGGAUACCCGCUGAACUUAAGCAUAUCAAUAAGCGGAGGA